GCUUUUUCUGGGGACAGAGAGUGAGGCCUGGACACCCGGCGCCGGCCCAGGCCUGGCCGCGGGGAGCCGAAGGGCGACGAGUCCGGCGACGAGGCCGUGUCGCUGUCGGGGGCCCGGCAGAGGCGCAGGUCCGGGGCGGAGACGUGCAGCCGGGACUGCGCCGCGGGGAGUCCCCCGGCCGGGGCAGGUGGCGGCCCGUGGAACAGGGAUUCCCGCCGGCGCGUGUGCGGGCUCUCGGGCAGGAAGGCCCAGCCUUCGCGGCCCGCCAGGGCCGAGAGGGUCCAAAUCCCGUCUCAGAUGGGAGUGCUCGGCGGAGCGGGGCUGGGCGAGGAGCGCAGAGGAGUCAGAGGCUAGUCAAGUGAAGCAAUGGGAGUGGAGAUGGAACAAAGAAAUCUGCAAUUGGUUGUGAUCAAUUAGUUGUAAACACUACUGCACUUGGACCAACCUCUUCCUUUUCCUGACUGCUUAGGAAGGAUGGAAUGUAUUUCCUUCCUUCUGGGAGUGUUUGAAUGAAGAUUAGACUCUCCUUGACCAUGAAUGAAGAGCAACCAGUUUUUUAGUAUACAGUGAUUUAGACUCUGGGUCUAGAGUGUAGAUAUCAUGGGCACUGUGAAAGCACAGAAGGAGAAAAGGUUUUUAUUUUGGUGGGGCUUUGUGUCUGAAUUCUGGCCAAUGGAACCACGUGGAGGCCUGGCCCAGAACAUCUCCCUGUGGAUUCUCUCAUCUGGCAACUGGAUGCCUACACGAAGGGUGAUUUUGGA
rnacentral:lncRNA from 1 species